UUGACAAUGCUAGAGACUGUUUAUUCAGAGAACAUGUACAGUGCAGGCAACAGCAAUGCAAGCUUCCCCAUACUACAAUCCCACCAAUCCGACCUGGAAGGGUCACAUCUAACAGUGAGAGUAAUUUAGCAUCCAGGUCAAUAUGAAUGCCAGU
ensembl:misc_RNA